rnacentral:rRNA from 1 species
UAAUGUAUGGGGAUCUGCCCGAUAGAGGGGGAUAACUACUGGAAACGGUGGCUAAUACCGCAUAAUGUCUACGGACCAAAGCAGGGGCUCUUCGGACCUUGCACUGUCGGAUGAACCCAUAUGGGAUUAGCUAGUAGGUGGGGUAAAGGCUCACCUAGGCGACGAUCUCUAGCUGGUCUGAGAGGAUGAUCAGCCACACUGGGACUGAGACACGGCCCAG